AAAAUGGGAUUUGGGCUACUACUUCAGCAUCUGUUUAAAGUCCAUUAUUACUGAGUGAUGCAAGUGUAACUACAAGGAGCUUUCCUCAGAACUUUCAUACUGGCAGGAUUAGCUUUUUAACUAGGGUUUGUUGUUUGAUUCUUAUCCAACUUUUAUUGGAU